UCAGGCGUGUGAAUGAAUAAUUAAUUCAUUUUGGAGCUUUCAGACAAUGCCAGACAACUCUGCAAGAGACCCCAAUUUAAGACCUCCCUGUAAACCUGUAGAAACAUAAGAAAAAAUUUUGCCUAAUGCUACCAGCUUUGGAGGUGGUUUGUUAUAAUAAUGAAAACAUUUCUUACCAGGGAAAUUUCCCAUUGUCUGUGGCCUGGAGGCCAAGCCUUCUUUCCCCACAUCUGGCCCCUCCCUCAUACAUGCCAGGCCUUACCCCUGCUUGAGGUUAUCAACGAGCAAUUUCCCAAACUCCUUUUCAGUUAGCCCUCUUUCUGUUUCACUUUCUCCUUUCAGACCAUGUAGGAAGUAAGGCAGAUGUGAAUGCUACUUACAUUUCUCCUGGUAAAAAAAAAAAAAAAGCCCAUUCAAGGCAUUUCCCAGAUAAAAGGAAAUCAACUUCUCUAAAGAUAAAUGUUGCCAUUCUCUUAAAAGGUUGCAGCAGCUGCAGUGACAGUUCUAAAUGCCACUCUUCCCCCUUCUUGCUACGUAUGUACAAACUGUACAGAAACAGGCAGGAUGAAAAUAUAACAAACUGUUAACAGAAAAUGUUUCUCAAGGAUUUCUUCCUACCUUAAAAGUACCUUUUAUUAUUUCAUUCUCAACAAAAUCAUUUUUAUAACACAGAUAUUUUAACAAAUAUAUUAACAAAUUUAGGUAAAGGCAAAAAGUGGCAUCAAAGCGUCACAAGCAAAGGCUGCUGGAGUGCAGGCCAAAUGCUGUGUUUGCUGCUGAGCCCCAGCCUCCCGUGCCCACCAUCCCACUUUCUUCUGUGCAGGCAGGGGCUGCCUCCCAUCUCAGUCACUUCUGUUGUUUGAGACAGGGUCUCACUGUUUCGCUCAGGCUGGAAACAGUGGCACGAUCAUAGCUUACUACAGCCUUGAACUUUUGGACCCAAGUGAUCCUUGCACCUUGCACCCCCAAAGAAGCUGGGGCUACCGGCGUGUGUCACCAUAGCCGGCUAAUUUUUCAAAACCUUUGUGUAGAGAUGGGACUCACUAUGUUGCUCAGGCUGCUACCGCUGUCUUUACCAGCCUUUCUUGCUCCUCAUGCUUUGGCAUGUGAAUAAAUCCCAGCCAGUGGGCCCCCAGGUGAUGUCUGCUGAGAGGCUUCUGUGAAAGUACCUUUCUAAUAAAAAAAAGACAAAGGAGAGUCUCCUUUUCUUUGGCCAGAUGUUAUGUCUGCAAUGCUGGUAUCUGAAGCAACCAUGUGGAUCCCAUGAGAACAGCCUGAAGGCCAGGUCAGUGGCUGAGGUGGAGAGGCUGGCUCUUGAUGACAUCAUUGAAUCACAGACCCAACCCUGUGACCACAGACUUCUUCCCCCUGCAUAUGUAGGUUAACCACUAUGUGUGGUCUGUUACAGUGGAGGGCAUCCAAAUUGUAGGAACAUAAAUAAUUUUCCGGCUAGGCACAGUGACUCAAGCCUGUAAUCCCAGCACUUUGGGAGGCCGAGGCGGGUGGAUCACAAGGUCAAGAGAUCGAGACCAUCCUGGUCAACAUGGUGAAACCCCGUCUCUACUAAAAAUACAAAAAAUUAGCUGGGCAUGGUGGUGCGUGCCUGUAAUCCCAGCUACUCAGGAGGCUGAGGCAGGAGAAUUGCCUGAACCCGGGAGGCGGAGGUUGCGGUGAGCCGAGAUCGUGCCAUUGCACUCCAGCCUGGGUAACAAGAGCGAAACUCCGUCUAAAAAAAAAAAAAAAGAAAUAAUUUUCCUCUCUCUGAGGGUCUGGGCCAGUGAUGAGUGGGGCUGAUGUGAAGAGAGAAGUCAAACCCAAUUUCUUAUGGGGCAGACAGAAAGCAGCUGUUCCGUGACAUGGGAGCUCCAUGCUUUGGGAUACAUCUUGCUGGAGAAUGGAGCCCAGCCUGAGUGAGCAGCCCACACUGAUGGAUUGGAGAUAGAAGAAAUAAAAAAUGCCUUCUCUUCCUUGCUCCUGAGUAAGUGGUUGCCUUCCAUUUCAGGCAGCAGAGUCUGAAUUCCCAUCUGCUGGGAACACAGAAAGGGGCAUAGCAAUGUAGUUACAAACCUGAAGAGUCUGUACAUCUCUCACUAAUCAAGCCAACACAGUAUGGAGCCAGGUCUUCCUAUUUGGAUGAGAAAGAGCGGACAGGGUCACAUUUGCUUGCCUUUUACUGCUCACUCAUUGAAUAGCAUUAGGAAAGGUUUACUUCAUGAACCUGGCACAAAGUAGGUUCUGUGCCUGAUGUUAACAUUCACUGUGCCCUCUUCACAAAUGAAAAGGUGGAAAAUUUCUGACUUCUGGUAAAUUCACAUUGAAAUAACUGUUUCUUGGGACACAGAUCCUGCAGUUCUUCCAUCCCUCCAGGCUGCUGUGAUUAUUUUUAAAAGUUUUUCAUGGUGUAAGGAGAAGAACCGUUGAAAAGCUGUAAGUAGAGGUUAAUUUGGUGUUCAAAAAUCAAGUGAUAGUCGACUCUAUCUCAUAGCUCAAUGAAUAGUAGGAUGAGGAGAGAAAUUUAACUAUACUUUUGAAUUGAAUCCCUUUUUAUAUGUAGCUUUAAAAACUUGCACAUUGAUAUUUUCUCCUCUAUUGAACCUUAGCAUAUAAAAAAGUUAAUUUUUUUAAAAAGCAUUUUAUAUGUAGAGAUGAGCUUUCAUAUUUCUCAGACUUAAAUUUUAAAGCAGAGUACGCAGUUGUUUUGCCUGCUUAACAAUCUCCUUUUUUUUUUUCCUUUUUUUAAAUUUUAUUUAUUUUUAUUGCAUUUUAGGUUUGGGGGUACAUGUGCAGAACAUGGAAGAUAGUUGCCUAGGUACACAUGUGGCAGUGUGAUUUGCUGCCUUCCUCCCCUUCAUCCGCAUCUGGCAUUUCUCCCCAUGCUAUCCCUCCCCAGCUCCUCCACCCGCUGUCCCUCCCCUAUUCCCCCGAAGAGACUCCAGUGUGUAGUGCUCCCCUGGGCCCUGUGUCCAUGUGUUCUCAUUGUUCAUCACCCACCUAUGAGUGAGAAUAUGCAGUAUUUAAUUUAUGUUCUUGUGUCAGUUUGCUGAGAAUGAUGUUCUCCAGCUUCAUCCAUGUCCCUACAAAGGACACGAACUCAUCGUUUUUGAUUGCUGCAUAAUAUUCCAUGGUGUAUAUGUGCCACAUUUUCCCAGUCCAGUCUGUCAUCGAUGGGCAUUUGGGUUGGUUCCAGGUCUUUGCUAUUGUAAACAGUGCUGCAAUGAACUUUCGUGUGCAUGUGUCCUUAUAGUAGAAUGAUUUAUAAUCCUUUGGAUAUAUACCUAGUAAUGGGAUUGCUGGGUCAAAUGGAAUUUCUAUUUCUAGGUCCUUGAGGAAUCGCCACACUGUCUUCCACAAUGGUUGAACUAAUCUACACUCCCACCAGCAGUGUAAAAUUGUUCCUAUUUCUCUACAUCCUCUCCAGCAUCUGUUGUCUCCAGAUUUUUUAAUGAUUGCCAUUCUAACUGGCGUGAGAUGGUAUCUCAAUGUAGUUUUGAUUUGCAUUUCUCUAAUGACCAGUGAUGAUGAGCAUUUUUUCAUAUAUUUGUUGGCCUUAUCACGUGUGUCUUCUUUUGUAAAGUGUCUGUUCAUAUCGUUUGCCCAUUUUUGAAUGGGCUUGUUUUUUUUUUGUAAAUCUGUUUGAGUUCUUUGUAAAUUCUGGAUAUCAGCCCUUUGUCAGAUGGGUAAACUGCAAAAUUUUUUCCCAUUCUGUUGGUUGCCGAUCCACUCUAGUGACUGUUUCUUUUGCCGUGCAGAAGCUGUGGAGUUUGAUUAGGUGCCAUUUAUCUAUUUUGACUUUUGUUGCCAAUGCUUUUGGUGUUUUGGUCAUGAAGUCCUUGCCUACUCCUAUGUCCUGAAUGGUUUUGCUAGAUUUUCUUCUAGGGUUUUUAUGGUGUUGGGUCUUAUGUUUAAGUCUUUAAUUCAUCUGGAGUUAAUUUUAGUAUAAGGUGUCAGGAAGGGGUCCAGUUUCUGCUUUCUGCACAUGGCUAGCCAGUUUUCCCAACACCACUUAUUAAACAGGGAAUCCUUUCCCAAUUGCUUGUUUUUGUCAGGUUUAUCAAAGAUUGUAUGGUUGUAGAUAGGUUUGUUGCCUCCAAUGCCUCUGUUCUGUUCCGUUGGUCUAUAUCUCUGUUUUGGUACCAGUACCAUGCUGUUUUGCUUACUGUAGCCUUGUAGUAUAGUUUGAAGUCCGGUAGUGUGAUGCCUCCUGCUGUGUUCUUUUUGCUUAGAAUUGACUUGGCUAUGCGGGCUCUCUUUGGUUCUAUACGAAGUUCAUGGUGUUUUUAUCCAGUUCUGUGAAGAAAGUCAAUGGUAGCUUGAUGGGGAUAGCAUUGAUUCUGUAAAUUACUUUGGGCAGUAUGGCCAUUUUCACAAUACUGAUUCUUCGUAACCAUGAACAUGGAAUGUUUCUCCAUCUGUUUGUGUCCUCUCUGAUUUUGUUGAGCAGUGGUUUGUAGUUUUCCUUGAAGAGGUCCCUUACGUUCCUUGUGAGUUAUAUUCCUAGAUAUUUUAUUCUCUUUGUAGCAAUUGUGAAUGGCAGUUCGUUCUUGAUUUGGCUCUCUUUAAGUCUGUUAUUGGUGUAGAGGAAUGCUUGUGAUUUUUGCACAUUGAUUUUAUAUCCUGAGACUUUGCUGAAGUUGCUUAUCAGUUUCAGGAGUUUUUCGGCUGAGACAAUGGGGUCUUCUAGAUAUACUAUCAUGUCAUCUGCAAAUAAAGACAAUUUGGCUUCCUCCUUUCCUAUUUGAAUACCCUUUAUUUCUUUUUCUUGCCUGAUUGCUCUAGCUAGAACUUCCAGUACUAUAUUGAAUAGGAGUGGUGAGUGAGGGCAUCCUUGUCUAAUGCCAGAUUUCAAAGGGAAUACUUCCAGUUUUUGCCCAUUCAGUAUGAUAUUGGCUGUUGGUUUGUCAUUAUUUUGAGAUACGUUCUAUCAAUGCCGAGUUUAUUGAGGGUUUUUACAAUAAAGGGCUGUUGAAUUUUGUCAAAGGCCUUCUCUGUGUCAAUUGAGAUAAUUAUGUGGUUUUUGUUUUUGGUUCUGUUUAUGUGGUGAAUUACGUUUAUAGACUUGCAUAUGUUGAACCAGCCAUGCAUCCCCGGGAUGAAUCCUACUUGAUCAUGGUGGAUAAGCUUUAUGAUGUGCUGUUGCAAUCACCUGCCAGUAUUUUAUUCCUUUUUCUUUUUUUAAGAUUUUAUUCUUUUUAAGAGACUGAGUCCACUAUGUUGACCAGGCUGGUCUCAUACUCCUGAGCUCAAGUGAUCCUCCUGCCUUAGCUUCCCAAGAUGUAAGUAUUACAGGCAAGAGCCACUAUGUCUAGCCCCAACCUUUUCUAGAAAAUUCUGAGAAUUGUCUAAUCCACAAACUCCAUCUACAUGGUUAGUACAAGUCACCACUAAAAUAUGGUCCAAUCUAGGAAUCCUAACCCCUCUUCAGAUCAUAGAAUCCUGGAGAGAGUUUACCUCUAUAUCCUUCUGUCUCCCUACAGUGUUUCUUCCUGCAUCUUGUGAAAACCUUUGCAGAUGGAUCUUCUGUUCUGAACACGUUUCUCCGAGGUGUGUCUUGCUUUGUUGCUGGAGUCUACAUCCAUGUCUAGCUAAUCUAACCCUUGUUACCUGAUAGUAAUUACUAUAUCAACUUUGUCGACGUGUUACUAUAAAGGAUCAGAGAGAGCAUGAACACAUUAGUCUCUAUAAGGCUAAUUCUACCCCAGCACCCAUCAAAGCGACCCAAAUGACACGCCAUGCAUCUCGAGUGACCGUGCACUGCCACAUACUCUGAGCUCUACUACAGGUAAUGCUACACCAAAUUGACAUUGUAACUGUGUUUCAAAUGUCUCUUAGAGACAAAUAUAGAACAGUAGGUAUAAUAACCUCUGAAAACUUCCAAGAGUAAUGAGGUUUUGCCAAGGCUUGUUGUAUUUAUCAUGGAUAGUUGUCAGGAAAUAACUUACCAGAAAGCCUGACUGAUUUGACAGUCAUUUUGACCUGUGAUUUAUUUAUUAAAUACAAUUUGAAUAUUCCUAAAAGAAAAAUUGCAAAGACAUCAUAGAUCCUGUAUCUUUUUAUAAACAAUCCCUUGUGAUUUUUAAGUUGCAAGAAAAUGCUGACAGAAAAAUUUUCAUGAUGUUGAAAUAGGUAUAAAUAAAAGUUUAUACAAAGCCACUGUCUCAACAUCAGCAGGAUAAGAGAUAAGAACUUCUGAGACAUUAUACUGUUCCCC